UACGUAGGGUCCAAGCGUUAUCCGGAAUUACUGGGCGUAAAGCGUGUGUAGGUGGAUAUCUAAGUGAGGUGCGAAAUCCCACGGCUCAACCGUGUGGACUGUAUCUCAUACUGGAUGUCUUGAGGAUGGCAGAGGCAAGCGGAAUUAGCGGUGUAGGGGUGAAAUCCGUAGAUAUCGCUAGGAACACCAAUGGCGAAGGCAGCUUGCUGGGCCACUCCUGACACUGAGACACGAAAGCGUGGGGAGCGAACAGG
rnacentral:misc_RNA from 1 species